CCUACGGGUGGCAGCAGUAGGGAAUCUUCCGCAAUGGGCGAAAGCCUGACGGAGCGACGCCGCGUGAGCGAUGAAGGCCUUCGGGUUGUAAAGCUCUGGGGGAGAAAGAUCGGUACCUCCUUAGCAAGCACCGGCUAACUCUGUGCCAGCAGCCGCGGUAAGACAGAGGGUGCGAACGUUGUUCGGAAUUACUGGGCGUAAAGCGUGUGUAGGCGGCAAGGUAGGUCGGAUGUGAAAUCCCGCGGCUCAACCGUGGAAGUGCACUCGAAACCACCUAGCUAGAGCUCGGAGAGGAAGGUGGAAUGCUUGGUGUAGAGGUGAAAUUCGUAGAUAUCAGCAGAACACCUGUGGCGAAGGCGGCCUUCUGGACGAUACUGACGCUGAGACACGAAAGCGUGGGGAGCAAACAGGAUUAGAUACCCGUGUAGUC
rnacentral:rRNA from 1 species